rnacentral:rRNA from 1 species
CACAGGGGAGCUUGCUCUCCGGGUGACGAGUGGCGGACGGGUGAGUAAUGUCUGGGGAUCUGCCCGAUGGAGGGGGAUAACUACUGGAAACGGUAGCUAAUACCGCAUAACCUCGAAAGAGCAAAGUGGGGGACCUUCGGGCCUCACACCAUCGGAUGAACCCAGAUGGGAUUAGCUAGUAGGUGGGGUAACGGCUCACCUAGGCGACGAUCCCUAGCUGGUCUGAGAGGAUGACCAGCCACACUGGAACUGAGACACGGUCCAGACUCCUACGGGAGGCAGCAGUGGGGAAUAUUGCACAAUGGGCGCAAGCCCGAUGCAGCCAUGCCGCGUGUAUGAAGAAGGCCUUCGGGUUGUAAAGUACUUUCAGCGGGGAGGAAGGGAUGAAGGUUAAUAACCUUCGUCAUUGACGUUACCCGCAGAAGAAGCACCGGCUAACUCCGUGCCAGCAGCCGCGGUAAUACGGAGGGUGCAAGCGUUAAUCGGAAUUACUGGGCGUAAAGCGCACGCAGGCGGUUUGUUAAGUCAGAUGUGAAAUCCCCGGGCUCAACCUGGGGACUGCAUUUGAAACUGGCAAGCUUGAGUCUCGUAGAGGGGGGUAGAAUUCCAGGUGUA